rnacentral:rRNA from 1 species
GGAAUUUUGGACAAUGGGCGCAAGCCUGAUCCAGCAAUGCCGCGUGCAGGAUGAAGGCCUUCGGGUUGUAAACUGCUUUUGUACGGAACGAAACGGUCUGCCCUAAUACGGUGGGCUAAUGACGGUACCGUAAGGAUAAGCACCGGCUAACUACGUGCCAGCAGCCGCGGUAAUACGUAGGGUGCGAGCGUUAAUCGGAAUUACUGGGCGUAAAGCGUGCGCAGGCGGUUAUAUAAGACAGAUGUGAAAUCCCCGGGCUCAACCUGGGAACUGCAUUUGUGACUGUAUAGCUAGAGUACGGUAGAGGGGGAUGGAAUUCCGCGUGUAGCAGUGAAAUGCGUAGAUAUGCGGAGGAACACCGAUGGCGAAGGCAAUCCCCUGGACCUGUACUGACGCUCAUGCACGAAAGCGUGGGGAGCAAACAGGAUUAGAUACCCUUG